rnacentral:rRNA from 1 species
UACGUAGGGUGCAAGCGUUAAUCGGAAUUACUGGGCGUAAAGCGUGCGCAGGCGGUUUUGUAAGUCUGACGUGAAAUCCCCGGGCUCAACCUGGGAAUUGCGUUGGAGACUGCAAGGCUGGAGUCUGGCAGAGGGGGGUAGAAUUCCACGUGUAGCAGUAAAAUGCGUAGAGAUGUGGAGGAAUACCGAUGGCGAAGGCAGCCUCCUGGGCCAACACUGACGCUCAUGCACGAAAGCGUGGGGAGCAAACAGG